GACGAACGCUGGCGGCGUGCCUAAUACAUGCAAGUCGAGCGGAGUAAAGACUUCGGUUUUUAUUAGCGGCGGACGGGUGAGUAACGCGUAGGUAACCUGCCUAACAGACUGGGAUAACUACCGGAAACGGUAGCUAAGACCGGAUACGUCAAAAUGAGGGCAUCCUCGAAUUGAGAAAAGCGAGCAAUCUGCUACUGGUAGAUGGACCUGCGGCGCAUUAGCUAGUUGGUGAGGAGAGGCUCACCAAGGCGACGAUGCGUAGCCGACCUGAGAGGGUGAACGGCCACACUGGGACUGAGACACGGCCCAGACUCCUACGGGAGGCAGCAGUAGGGAAUCUUCGGCAAUGGACGAAAGUCUGACCGAGCAGCGCCGCGUGAGUGAUGAAGGUUUUCGGAUCGUAAAAC
rnacentral:rRNA from 1 species